rnacentral:rRNA from 1 species
GUGCCUAAUACAUGCAAGUAGAACGCUAAAGGAGGAGCUUGCUUCUCUGGAUGAGUUGCGAACGGGUGAGUAACGCGUAGGUAACCUGCCUGGUAGCGGGGGAUAACUAUUGGAAACGAUAGCUAAUACCGCAUAAUAGUAGAUGUUGCAUGACAUUUACUUAAAAGGUGCAAUUGCAUCACUACCAGAUGGACCUGCGUUGUAUUAGCUAGUUGGUGGGGUAACGGCUCACCAAGGCGACGAUACAUAGCCGACCUGAGAGGGUGAUCGGCCACACUGGGACUGAGACACGGCCCAGACUCCUACGGGAGGCAGCAGUAGGGAAUCUUCGGCAAUGGACGGAAGUCUGACCGAGCAACGCCGCGUGAGUGAAGAAGGUUUUCGGAUCGUAAAGCUCUGUUGUAAGAGAAGAACGAGUGUGAGAGUGGAAAGUUCACACUGUGACGGUAUCUUACCAGAAAGGGACGGCUAACUACGUGCCAGCGGCCGCGGUAAUAC